UACGUAGGGUGCAAGCGUUAAUCGGAAUUACUGGGCGAAAGCGUGCGCAGGCGGUUUUGUAAGUCUGACGUGAAAUCCCCGGGCUCAACCUGGGAAUUGCGUUGGAGGCUGCAAGGCUAGAAUCUGGCAGAGGGGGGUAGAAUUCCACGUGUAGCAGUGAAAUGCGUAGAUAUGUGGAGGAACACCGAUGGCGAAGGCAGCCCCCUGGGCUAGCACGUGACGCUCAGGCACGAAAGCGUGGGGGAGCCAAACGGGG
rnacentral:rRNA from 1 species